rnacentral:rRNA from 1 species
UACGUAGGGACCAAGCGUUGUUCGGAUUUACUGGGCGUAAAGGGCGCGUAGGCGGCGAAUCAAGUCAGCUGUGAAAUCUCCGAGCUUAACUCGGAACGGUCAGCUGAUACUGUUUUGCUAGAGUGCAGAAAGGGCAACCGGAAUUCUUGGUGUAGCGGUGAAAUGCGUAGAUAUCAAGAGGAACACCUGAGGCGAAGGCGGGUUGCUAGGCUGGCACUGACGCUGAAGCGCGAAAGCUAGGGUAGCAAACGGG